rnacentral:piRNA from 1 species
UGAGAUACUUGGGUCCUGGGUGAGG